rnacentral:rRNA from 1 species
UACGAAGGGUGCAAACGUUGCUCGGGAUCAUUGGGCGUAAAGCGCACGUAGGCGGCUUCGCAAGUCGGAUGUGAAAUCCCAUGGCUCAACCAUGGACGUGCAUCCGAAACUGCGGAGCUUGAGUACUGAAGAGGAUCGCGGAAUUCCCGGUGUAGAGGUGAAAUUCGUAGAUAUCGGGAGGAACACCAGUGGCGAAGGCGACUACCUGGCCUGUUUCUUGACGCUGAGGCGCGAAAGCUAGGGGAGCAAACGGG